rnacentral:rRNA from 1 species
CCUACGGGUUGCACCAGUGGGGAAUAUUGCACAAUGGGCGCAAGCCUGAUGCAGCCAUGCCGCGUGUAUGAAGAAGGCCUUCGGGUUGUAAAGUACUUUCAGCGGGGAGGAAGGUGUUGUAGUUAAUAACCGCAGCAAUUGACGUUACCCGCGGAAGAAGCACCGGCUAACUCCGUGCCGGCAGCCGCGGUAAUACGGGGGGUGCAAGCGUUAAUCGAAUUACUGGGCGUAAAGCGCACGCAGGCGGUCUGUCAAGUCGGAUGUGAAAUCCCCGGGCUCAACCUGGGAACUGCAUUCGAAACUGGCAGGCUAGAGUCUUGUAGAGGGGGGUAGAAUUCCAGGUGUAGCGGUGAAAUGCGUAGAGAUCUGGAGGAAUACCGGUGGCGAAGGCGGCCCCCUGGACAAAGACUGACGCUCAGGUGCGAAAGCGUGGGGAGCAAACAGGAUUAGAUACCCCGGUAGUC